GAAAUGCGAUAAUUAAUGUGAAUUGCAGAAUUCAGUGAAUCAUCGAGUCUUUGAACGCACAUUGCGCCCCCUGGUAUUCCGGGGGGCAUGCCUGUCCGAGCGUCAUUGCUGCCCUCACGCACGGCUUGUGUGUUGGGCUUCCGUCCCUGGCAACGGGGACGGGCCCAAAAGGCAGUGGCGGCACCAUGUCUGGUCCUCGAGCGUAUGGGGCUUUGUCACCCGCUCCCGUAGGUCCAGCUGGCAGCUAGCCUCGCAACCAAUCUUUUUAACCAGGUUGACCUCGGAUCAGGUAGGGAUACCCGCUGAACUUAAGC
rnacentral:misc_RNA from 1 species